rnacentral:ncRNA from 1 species
GCAUCCUGGGGCUGUAGUCGGUCCCAAGGGUUGGGCUGUUCGCCCAUUAAAGCGGUACGCGAGCUGGGUUCAGAACGUCGUGAGACAGUUCGGUCCCUAUCCGUCGCGGGCGCAGGAAAUUUGAGAGGAGCUGUCCUUAGUACGAGAGGACCGGGAUGGACACACCGCUGGUGUACCAGUUGUUCCGCCAGGGGCAUCGCUGGGUAGCUAUGUGUGGCCGGGAUAAGUGCUGAAAGCAUCUAAGCACGAAGCCCCCCUCAAGAUGAGAUUUCCCAUUGCGCAAGCAAGUAAGAUCCCUCAAAGACGAUGAGGUAGAUAGGUUCGGGGUGGAAGCGCGGCGACGCGUGCAGCUGACGAAUACUAAUCGAUCGAGGACUUAACCAA